CGAGCUGUAUUAAAGAGAUAGUUUCUCCUAGCGUCUUGUGACUCUUCGUCAAAACUUCUAUUUUGCCUUUGCUCG
rnacentral:ncRNA from 1 species